rnacentral:rRNA from 1 species
AAAUCCCACGGCUCAACCGUGGGGCUUGCUGGGGAUACUGCGGGCCUUGGGACCGGGAGAGGCCGGGGGUACCCCUGGGGUAGGGGUGAAAUCCUAUAAUCCCAGGGGGACCGCCAGUGGCGAAGGCGCCCGGCUGGAACGGGUCCGACGGUGAGGGACGAAGGCCAGGGGAGCGAACCGGAUUAGAUACCCGGGUAGUCCUGGCUGUAAAGGAUGCGGGCUAGGUGUCGGGCGAGCUUCGAGCUCGCCCGGUGCCGAAGGGAAGCCGUUAAGCCCGCCGCCUGGGGAGUACGGCCGCAAAGCUGAAACUUAAAGGAAUUGGCGGGGGGGCACUACAAGGGGUGGAGCGUGCGGUUUAAUUGGAUUCAACGCCGGGAACCUCACCGGGGGCGACGGCAGGAUGAAGGCCAGGCUGAAGGUCUUGCCGGACACGCCGAGAGGAGGUGCAUGGCCGCCGUCAGCUCGUACCGUGAGGCGUCCACUUAAGUGUGGUAACGAGCGAGACCCGCGCCCCCAGUUGCCAGUCCUCCCCGCUGGGGAGGAGGCACUCUGGGGGGACCGCCGGCGAUAAGCCGGAGGAAGGAGCGGGCGACGGUAGGUCAGUAUGCCCCGAAACCCCCGGGCUACACGCGCGCUACAAUGGGCGGGACAAUGGGAUCCGACCCCGAAAGGGGAAGGGAAUCCCCUAAACCCGCCCCCAGUUCGGAUCGCGGGCUGCAACUCGCCCGCGUGAAGCUGGAAUCCCUAGUACCCGCGUGUCAUCAUCGCGCGGCGAAUACGUCCCUGCUCCUUGCACACACCGCCCGUCACUCCACCCGAGCGGGGUCUGGAUGAGGCCUGAUCUCCCUUCGGGGAGGUCGGGUCGAGUCUGGGCUCCGUGAGGGGGGAGAAGUCGUAACAAGGUAGCCGUAGGGGAACCUACGGCUCGAUCACCUCCU